UCCUCGUUUAAGCGAGGCAGUCUGUCCAGAGUGCUUCGAUCUCUCGUUCCCGCGACCGGGAUGUCAAAGGCUGGUAAGGUUCUUCGCGUUGCUUCGAAUUGAACCACAUGCUCCACCGCUUGUGCGGGCCCCCGUCAAUUCCUUUGAGUUUUAAUCUUGCGACCGUACUCCCCAGGCGGGAUGCUUAAUGCGUUAGCUGCGCCACUGAAGAGCAAGCUCCCCAACGGCUAGCAUCCAUCGUUUACAGCGUGGACUAC
rnacentral:misc_RNA from 1 species